UACGUAGGGUGCGAGCGUUAAUCGGAAUUACUGGGCGUAAAGCGUGCGCAGGCGGUUGUGCAAGACAGAUGUGAAAUCCCCGGGCUUAACCUGGGAAUUGCAUUUGUGACUGCACGGCUAGAGUGUGUCAGAGGGGGGUAGAAUUCCACGUGUGAGCAGUGAAAUGCGUAGAUAUGUGGAGAAUACCGAUGGCGAAGGCAGCCCCCUGGGAUAACACUGACGCCUCUAGCACGAAGCGUGGGGAGAAACAGG
rnacentral:rRNA from 1 species